UGGGGAAUCUUGGACAAUGGGCGCAAGCCUGAUCCAGCCAUGCCGCGUGAGUGAUGAAGGCCCUAGGGUUGUAAAACUCUUUCGUGGGGGACGAUAAUGACGGUACCCCAAGAAGAAGCUCCGGCUAACUUCGUGCCAGCAGCCGCGGUAAUACGAAGGGACCAAGCGUUGUUCGGAUUUACUGGGCGUAAAGGGCGCGUAGGCGGCGUGGUAAGUCAUCUGUGAAAUCUCCGAGCUUAACUCGGAACGGUCAGAUGAUACUGCUGUGCUAGAGUACAGAAAGGGCAAUCGGAAUUCUUGGUGUAGCGGUGAAAUGCGUAGAUAUCAAGAGGAACACCUGAGGCGAAGGCGGGUUGCUAGGCUGAUACUGACGCUGAGGCGCGAAAGCCAGGGGAGCGAACGGGAUUAGAUACCCAAGUAGUCCCUGAGCGGGCUGGCAAGGCGCAU
rnacentral:rRNA from 1 species